GACGAACGCUGGCGGCGUGCUUAACACAUGCAAGUCGAACGGAAAGGCCUGCUUUCCCUUGUGGAUUGCGGGUACUCGAGUGGCGAACGGGUGAGUAACACGUGAGUGAUCUGCCCCCAACUUGGGUAUAAGCCUGGGAAACUGGGUCUAAUUCCCGAUAGGACUGCAGGGUGGUGCCUGUGGUGGAAAACGAUUUUCUAGUGGUUGGGGAUGAGCUCGCGGCCUAUCAGCUUGUUGGUGGGGUAAUGGCCUACCAAGGCGGCGACGGGUAGCCGGCCUGGGGGGGGGGAAGGCCACGGUGGGAGGGAGUUACGGCCCGGCCUCCAGGGGAGGGAAGGAGGGGGAAAUGUGGACCAGGGGGGGGAGGCCUGAGGCCGCGGCGCGGGGGGGGGGAUGACGGCCUUGGGGUGGUAACCUCCUUUGGGCGGGGGGGAAGCCCCCUGGGUGGAGGGGUGGUGAGGGUAGUGGAAGAAGAAGCCCCGGCUAACUACGUG
rnacentral:rRNA from 1 species